AUAUUGUGAUCUCCAUCAUAGUAUCAUUGAAAUCCCUUUCGAUGAGCUGGAAUGAUUUCAACUCACCUCAAUAAAGAUCGUUGAUCCGAAAAUGAUCCUAGUGAGUCCUCACGAUCCACCAGUGACACUUAACAGCAUAUAGUGGCAACUCAGUAGAAUAAAAAAAAGAACUCCUAGGUACAGUUAUUGUGUGAUACAAUCCCUUUAUCGUGAGUCCCAACUAGAUGGAGGUCAUGG
rnacentral:lncRNA from 1 species